GAUAAACGCUGGCGGCGUGCAUAACACAUGCAAGUCGAACGAUGAAACUUAAAUGAUCUCUUCGGAGUGACUUUAAGUGGAUUAGUGGCGGACGGGUGAGUAACGCGUGAGUAACCUGCCUUGCACAAGGGGAUAGCCGUUGGAAACGACGAAUAAUACCCUAUGAUAUGAUAGUCUCGCAUGAGAUUAUCAUCAAAGAUUUAUCGGUGUAAGAUGGACUCGCGUCUGAUUAGAUAGUUGGUGGGGUAACUGCUCACCAAGGCAACGAUCAGUAGCCGGCUUGAGAGAGUGUGCGGCCACAUUGGGACUGAGACACGGCCCAGGCUCCUACGGGAGGCAGCAGUGGGGAAUUUUGCACAAUGGGGGAAACCCUGAUGCAGCGUCGCCGCGUGAUUUAGAAGGCCUUCGGGUUGUAAAAAUCUUUUGUAUGGGAAGAAAAUGACAGGACCAUACGAAUAAGGACCGGCUAAUUACGUGCCAGCCGCCGCAGUAA
rnacentral:rRNA from 1 species